UGUAAGCGUAUACCAAAGUUGUUGCAGUUAAAACGCUCGUAGUCGGAAUUUGGCAGUUCCGGAUGUGUGCACGUCGUGUGCGCACUUCGCGGGGAUUGCUUUUGUGGUCUUGCGUAGGAUGAGGCACUUUUAUUAGUGAACGUCCUCACGCAACCACUUUUUACUGUGAGAAAAUCAGAGUGCUCAAAGCAGGCAUUUACCGUGAAUGUAUUAGCAUGGAAUAAUAGAAUAGGACUCGGUUCUAUUUUGUUGGUUUGUUGGGACUGAGUAAUGAUUAAGAGGGACAGUUGGGGGCAUUUGUAUUUCGGCGCUAGAGGUGAAAUUCUUAGAUUGCCGAAAGACAAACUGCUGCGAAAGCGUCUGCCAAGGAUGUUUUCAUUGA
rnacentral:rRNA from 1 species